rnacentral:rRNA from 1 species
GACGAACGCUGGCGGCGUGCUUAACACAUGCAAGUCGAACGGAAAGGCCCUGCUUUUGUGGGGUGCUCGAGUGGCGAACGGGUGAGUAACACGUGAGUAACCUGCCCUUGACUUUGGGAUAACUUCAGGAAACUGGGGCUAAUACCGGAUAGGAGCUCCUGCUGCAUGGGGGGGGUUGGAAAGUUUCGGCGGUUGGGGCUGGACUCGCGGCUUAUCAGCUUGUUGGUGGGGUAGGGGCUUACCAAGGCUUUGACGGGUAGCCGGCCUGAGAGGGUGACCGGCCACAUUGGGACUGAGAUACGGCCCAGACUCCUACGGGAGGCAGCAGUGGGGAAUAUUGCACAAUGGGCGGAAGCCUGAUGCAGCAACGCCGCGUGCGGGAUGACGGCCUUCGGGUUGUAAACCGCUUUCGCCUGUGACGAAGCGUGAGUGACGGUAAUGGGUAAAGAAGCACCGGCUAACUACGUG